GCAGCACGGAGCUUGCUCUGGUGGCGAGUGGCGAACGGGUGAGUAAUGCGUCGGAACGUAUCCAUAAUGGGGGAUAACGCAGCGAAAGCUGUGCUAAUACCGCAUACGCCCUCCGGGGGAAAGCAGGGGAUCUUAGGACCUUGCGUUAAUGGAGCGGCCGACGUCUGAUUAGCUAGUUGGUAGGGUAAAGGCCUACCAAGGCGACGAUCAGUAGCUGGUCUGAGAGGAUGAUCAGCCACACUGGGACUGAGACACGGCCCAGACUCCUACGGGAGGCAGCAGUGGGGAAUUUUGGACAAUGGGCGCAAGCCUGAUCCAGCCAUUCCGCGUGAGUGAAGAAGGCCUUCGGGUUGUAAAGCUCUUUCAGGAGGGAAGAAACGAUUGUGGCUAAUACCCAUGAUUAAUGACGGUACCUUCAGAAGAAGCACCGGCUAACUACGUGCCAGCAGCCGCGGUAAUACGUAGGGUGCGAGCGUUAAUCGGAAUUACUGGGCGUAAAGCGUGCGCAGGCGGUUUUUCAAGUCUGAUGUGAAAUCCCCGGGCUUAACCUGGGAACUGCGUUGGAAACUGAAAGACUAGAGUGCGGCAGAGGGGGGUAGAAUUCCACGUGUAGCAGUGAAAUGCGUAGAUAUGUGGAGGAAUACCGAUGGCGAAGGCAGCCCCCUGGGUCGACACUGACGCUCAUGCACGAAAGCGUGGGUAGCAAACAGGAUUAGAUACCCUGGUAGUCCACGCCCUAAACGAUGUCAACUAGUUGUUGGGGAGGGAGACCUCCUUAGUAACGCAGCUAACGCGCGAAGUUGACCGCCUGGGGGAGUACGGUCGCAAGAUUAAAACUCAAAGGAANUGACGGGGGCCCGCACAAGCGGUGGAUU
rnacentral:rRNA from 1 species